rnacentral:rRNA from 1 species
AGCGAACGCUGGCGGCAGGCUUAACACAUGCAAGUCGAGCGGGCCCUUCGGGGUCAGCGGCGGACGGGUGAGUAACGCGUGGGAACGUGCCUUCUGGUCUGGAAUAACCCUGGGAAACUAGGGCUAAUACCGGAUACGCCCUUUUGGGGAAAGGUUUACUGUCGGAAGAUCGGCCCGCGUCUGAUUAGCUAGUUGGUGGGGUAACGGCCUACCAAGGCGACGAUCAGUAGCUGGUCUGAGAGGAUGAUCAGCCACACUGGGACUGAGACACGGCCCAGACUCCUACGGGAGGCAGCAGUGGGGAAUAUUGGACAAUGGGCGCAAGCCUGAUCCAGCCAUGCCGCGUGAGUGAUGAAGGCCUUAGGGUUGUAAAGCUCUUUUAUCCGGGACGAUAAUGACGGUACCGGAGGAAUAAGCCCCGGCUAACUUCGUG